AGUGCAAUGGAUUUAAGCUUCAUACAUAAAGGAAUACCCUUUUAUUAGAA
rnacentral:tRNA from 1 species